UCAGACGAUGCGUCAUGCAUAUCAAUAAGCGGAGGAAAAGAAACUAACAAGGAUUCCCCCAGUAACGGCGAGUGAAGCGGGAAGAGCUCAAAUUUGAAAUCUUGAAAGGUCACCUUUCACGAAUUGUAGUUUAAAGAAGUGUUUUCUGUUACGAUCGUAAUAUAAGUUCUUUGGAAUAGGACGUCACAGAGGGUGAGAAUCCCGUCUAUGAUUGCGAUUUGUAGCUUUGUGAUACACUUUCAAAGAGUCGGGUUGUUUGGGAAUGCAGCCCAAAACGGGAGGUAAAUUCCUUCUAAGGCUAAAUAUUGGCGAGAGACCGAUAGCGAACAAGUACCGUGAGGGAAAGAUGAAAAGAACUUUGAAAAGAGAGUUAAAUAGUACGUGAAAUUGUCAAAAGGGAAGCGUUUGACACCAGUGUUGUUUUCUGAAAAUCAACCUCUGUUAGCUUUAUGCAUGUUUGUUUAGACCUAAUCAGCUAUCUUGCAUGUUCUAUUGUUUGCAGUGGUGCACUUUUCAGUUUACAGGUCAACAUCAGUUUUUUUUACCGUAAAAAAAUUAAAGAAAGGUAGCUCAUGGCUCCGGUCGUGAGUGUUAUAGUCUUUUUCCUAUGCGGUAGGAGAGACUGAGGUCUGCAGUGUAGGCUAUUUGGCUAGAUACUCAGGUGCUAUGUGAUACCAUUUCAUAAACAACUCGUUGAUUAUGUUUUGUCUAUUGCAUACUCGCUUGUACUAUCAUACCUACGCUUAGGAUGUUGAAGACUCUACAGAGAUA
rnacentral:rRNA from 1 species